rnacentral:rRNA from 1 species
GACGAACGCUGGCGGCGUGCUUAACACAUGCAAGUCGAACGGAAAGGCCCUGCUUUUGUGGGGUGCUCGAGUGGCGAACGGGUGAGUAACACGUGAGUAACCUGCCCUUGACUUUGGGAUAACUUCAGGAAACUGGGGCUAAUACCGGAUAGGAGCUCCUGCUGCAUGGUGGGGGUUGGAAAGUUUCGGCGGUUGGGGAUGGACUCGCGGCUUAUCAGCUUGUUGGUGGGGUAGUGGCUUACCAAGGCUUUGACGGGUAGCCGGCCUGAGAGGGUGACCGGCCACAUUGGGACUGAGAUACGGCCCAGACUCCUACGGGAGGCAGCAGUGGGGAAUAUUGCACAAUGGGCGGAAGCCUGAUGCAGCAACGCCGCGUGCGGGAUGACGGCUUUCGGGUUGUAAUCCGCUUUCGCCUGUGACGAAGCGUGAGUGACGGUAAUGGGUAAAGAAGCACCGGCUAACUACGUG